AUUGAACGCUGGCGGCAUGGCUAAAGCAUGCAAGUCGAACGAGAACCCUUCGGGGUGAAAGUGGCGAAAGGGCGAGUAAUACGAUCGAACGUACCCCAAGGUGGGGAUAGCGUCGGGAAACUGGCGGUAAUACCCAUCGUGCUCUACGGAGGAAAGAUUUAUCGCCUCGGGAGCGGCGAUCGUCCUAUCAGGUAGUUGGUGAGGUAAUGGCUCACUAAGCCGAAGACGGGUAGCGGGUGUGAGAGCAUGACCCGCCGCAUCGGAACUGAGACACUGUCCGGACUCCUACGGGGAGGCUGCAGCGACGAAUCUUCCGCAAUGGGCGAAAGCCUGACGGAGCAAUGCCGCGUGUGGGAUGAAGCGCCUUCGGCGUGUAAACCACUGUCAGGGUUCCAGGAACACUGACCGGAACCAGAGGAAGGGCCGGCUAACCCUGUGCCAGCAGCCGCGGUAAGACAGGGGGCCCCGAGCGUUAAUCGGAAUCACUGGGCUUAAAGGGUGCGCAGGCGGAUCGGCAAGCGUCUUGUGAAAGCCCCC
rnacentral:rRNA from 1 species